rnacentral:rRNA from 1 species
CAUGUAGGCGGAUAUGGAAGUCAGAUGUGAAAUCCCUUGGCUCAACCAAGGACGUGCAUCUGAAACCACAUAUCUUGAGUAUGACAGAGGGAAGUGGAAUUCCCAGUGUAGAGGUGAAAUUCAUAGAUAUUGGGAAGAACACCGGUGGCGAAGGCGGCUUUCUGGGUCAUCACUGACGCGGAGAUGCGAAAGCGCGGGGAGCAAACA